rnacentral:rRNA from 1 species
AUUGAACGCUGGCGGCAGGCCUAACACAUGCAAGUCGAACGAGUGGCGGACGGGUGAGUAAUGUCUGGGAAACUGCCCGAUGGAGGGGGAUAACUACGGGAAACUGUAGCUAAUACCGCAUACCAUCGGAUGUGCCCAAAUGGGAUUAGCUAGUUGGUGGGGGAAAGGCUCACCUAGGCGACGAUCCCUAGCUGGUCUGAGAGGAUGACCAGCCACACUGUGACUGAGACACGGUCCAGACUCCUACGGGAGGCAGCAGUGGGGAAUAUUGCACAAUGGGCGCAAGCCUGAUGCAGCCAUGCCGCGUGUAUGAAGAAGGCCUUCGGGUUGUAAAGUACUUUCAGCGGGGAGGCGUUACUCGCAGAAGAAGCACCGGCUAACUCCGUGCCAGCAGCCGCGGUAAUUC